rnacentral:rRNA from 1 species
CGACCAGGGCUACACACGUGCUACAAUGGCGCAUACAAAGAGAAGCGACCUCGCGAGAGCAAGCGGACCUCAUAAAGUGCGUCGUAGUCCGGAUUGGAGUCUGCAACUCGACUCCAUGAAGUCGGAAUCGCUAGUAAUCGUGGAUCAGAAUGCCACGGUGAAUACGUUCCCGGGCCUUGUACACACCGCCCGUCACACCAUGGGAGUGGGUUGCAAAAGAAGUAGGUAGCUUAACCUUCGGGAGGGCGCUUACCACUUUGUGAUUCAUGACUGGGGUGAAGUCGUAACAAGGUAACCGUAGGGGAACCUGCG